rnacentral:rRNA from 1 species
GAUCAUUACCGAAUUGUCAAACGGGUUGUUGCUGGUCCUCAAACGGGGACAUGUGCACGCUCUGUUUACACAUCCACUCACACCUGUGCACCCUCCGUAGUUCUAUGGUCUGGGGGACCCCGUCUUCCUGCCGUGGUUCUGCGUCUUUACACACACGCUGUAACAAAGUCUUAUGGAAUGUAUGCCGCGUCUAACGCAAUACAAUACAACUUUCAGCAACGGAUCUCUUGGCUCUCGCAUCGAUGAAGAACGCAGCGAAAUGCGAUAAGUAAUGUGAAUUGCAGAAUUCAGUGAAUCAUCGAAUCUUUGAACGCACCUUGCGCCCCUUGGCUAUUCCGAGGGGCAUGCCUGUUUGAGUAUCAUGAACACCUCAACUCUCAUGGUUUGCCAUGAUGAGCUUGGACUCUGGGGGUUUUGCUGGCCUGUGGUCGGCUCCCCUCAAAUGAAUCAGCCUCCCAGUGUUUGGUGGCAUCACGGGUGUGAUAAAUAUCUACGCUCAUGGUCGUCUGCCAGGUAACCUUUGGUGACAAAGGUUUGCUGGAGCUCAUAGAUGUCUCUUCUCAGUGAGGACAGCUUUUUGAACGUUCGAUCUCAAAUCAGGUAGGACUACCCGCUGAACUUAAGCAUAUCAUAA